rnacentral:hammerhead_ribozyme from 1 species
AUCCAACUGAUGAGUCCCGAAUAAGAGGAAACGCGCGUCCUAGAA